ensembl:lncRNA
AAAUAAAUAUGUAGCAGCUAUAUAACUCAGUUUGAGUUAACAAACCACACACAGAACCGUUUGAAUUCUCUCUUCAUUUAUAACUUUGUGAACAUUUAACACAAUUUCAAACGUUGUCGUAUAUUUGAAGUUUAGGCUAAGUUAAAGAUGCUGAACUCGACUGAAGGCACCGCCAUCACUAAGAGCGAGCAAAGAUCACAUCAGCGUCUCAACUCUUCUCUGUUCUGGCCCCGCGUUGGUGGAACGAACUCCCUGCUUCCAGAGACUCAAGACUCACCUGUUCAGAGUUCACCUGGGCUGUGCAUAGCCUCCACCUUACACUUUAUAUAUCUACAGAAAUAUAGACUAAUAUAUAUUGACAAAUUUAUAUUUACAAAUAUAUAUCUACAGAUAUAUAUUGACAAAUGUAUAUCUACAAAUAUAAAAAAUAUAUGUAUCAACAAAAAUAUAUACAAAUACGUGUCGGAAUAUAUAUAUAUAUAUAUAUAUAUAUAUAUAUAUAUAUAUAUACUUUCAGGAGCAGAACUCCGGACCAAAGCUCCACAUACCAGCACUGUAUCGUAGGACUGAAGGUGUCAUACCACGGAGUAGUGUCUGAUAAUACUACAGUAGUACUGUAUCGUAGGACUGAACGUGUCAUACCACGGAGUGUCGUGUGAUAAUACUACAGAGUAUCGCAACACUACGGACUGAAGAUGAACGUGAUGCUGGCAGUGAAGCAGUACGUCACCAGGAUGAUCGAGGACAGCGGGCCGGGCAUGAAGGUCCUGCUGAUGGACAAGGACACGGUAGGACCUGUUCCACCAGGAGCUCCUGAGCAGAAGAGGACCUCAAACACAUAGAAGAGCACCUCAAACACAUAGAAGAGCACCUCAAACACAUAGAAGAGGACCUCAAACACAUAGAAGAA